GAUGAACGCUGGCGGCGUGCCUAAUACAUGCAAGUCGAGCGAACAGACGAGGAGCUUGCUCCUCUGACGUUAGCGGCGGACGGGUGAGUAACACGUGGAUAACCUACCUAUAAGACUGGGAUAACUUCGGGAAACCGGAGCUAAUACCGGAUAAUAUAUUGAACCGCAUGGUUCAAUAGUGAAAGACGGUUUUGCUGUCACUUAUAGAUGGAUCCGCGCCGCAUUAGCUAGUUGGUAAGGUAACGGCUUACCAAGGCAACGAUGCGUAGCCGACCUGAGAGGGUGAUAGGCCACACUGGAACUGAGACACGGUCCAGACGCCUACGGGAGGCAGCAGUAGGGAAGCUUCCGCAAUGGGCGAAAGCCUGACGGAGCAACGCCGCGUGAGUGAUGAAGGUCUUCGGAUCGUAAAACUCUGUUAUUAGGGAAGAACAAAUGUGUAAGUAACUAUGCACGUCUUGACGGUACCUAAUCAGAAAGCCACGGCUAACUACGUG
rnacentral:rRNA from 1 species